UGGCUCAGGACGAACGCUGGCGGCGUGCUUAAUACAUGCAAGUCGAGCGAGCUACUUCGGUAGCGAGCGGCGCACGGGUGAGUAACGCGUAGAUGAUCUACCCUCGAGACUGAGAUACCUCCGGGAAACUGGAGUUAAUACCAGAUAACGCACAUUUGUUGGUUCAGAUGUGUUAAAGCGGUGCAAGUCGCACUUGAGGAUGAGUCUGCGGCCUAUCAGCUAGUUGGUGGGGUAACGGCCUACCAAGGCGAAGACGGGUAGCUGAUCUGAGAGGAUGAUCAGCCACAUUGGGACUGAGACACGGCCCAAACUCCUACGGGAGGCAGCAGUAGGGAAUAUUGCGCAAUGGGGGGAACCCUGACGCAGCGACGCCGCGUGAGUGAAUGACGGCCAUUUUGGUUGUAAAGCUCUGUAAAGAGGGAAAAAUGUUGCAGUGAAGAGCUGCAAUUGAUGGUACCUCUAAAGUAAGGACCGGCUAAAUACGUGCCAGCCGCUGC
rnacentral:rRNA from 1 species